AUUUUAUGAUUUUCUGAGUGCUGUUUGGACCAUCAUGUCAGUGACCUAAACAGCUUCCUGCUACAAGGAAGACUGAGUUCCCAAACCGGAUCUGUGGCUCAUUUCCACUCAACGUUCAGACCAACCAAAGAUCUGGGCAGCAGCUUGGAGCCCCUUGUAAUUUGGCCCCAGGACAACCUGGCUUGCAGGCACCAUUUGCCAACUUGUGUGGCUGAGAGAGACGGGAGCCAGCUGGUACAUGGAAGAUUGCAGGAUCUGAAAUUCACGGGGUUCCACAAACAGAAAUUAUCCCUGUUUCUCAAGAAAUCAUCAAUGCCCUACAUUAAACUGCUAAGGUCAGUUCGAGAGAAGGAACAACAGGCUCUGAAGGCAGUAAUUGUACAAGAGUAGUGGCUGUGCCGGGGAGGCCAGGAGAAGGUGGAAUGGGCGAGAUUCUGCUUCCUUGAGAAACAGCAGAAUCAGAGAGAAAUGGGGAAUGGAUGCCCAGCAGGAAUGCUGGCUGCCCAUUUUCCUCAGAAUUUACAACCCCUGUGCCAGACAGGGGCAUUCAACAGCGCCUGUCUUGAUGGUCAUGGGCCAAAACGACCCCUGUUCCAACUGGGAAACACAGGCCCUGCUGCCGCCUGUGAGGGGAACUCUGGAGUGUGAGAAGUUCAUGGGUCAGCGUCGGGAAUGUGCUUUCCUCUACCGAUGCUUUGUCCUGGGUGCGUCUUUUGGAUUCCAACAGUGUCUAAGUUAUUGAGUCCAUUCACUCAAGACAUUUUCCCCUGCUGUUCCCAACUGUGCUGAUGAGAUCAGGAGAGACAGUGAUGGAUGAGACACAGCCCCGGCCCUCGGCUGUCAGGUCGUGUUGCCACCUGUCCAGUUUCUAACUGUGAGCAGGGCUUGUCCUGCUGCCGCCUCACAGGAAGACUCUGGAGUUUGGAUGAAAUCUCUGCCCUUUCUCCCUGCCUGGAAUUCUGCAGUGUUCUGGCAGCUUCUUGGAUCCCCAGAGAGCCAAUUCCUUGUCCCCCUGUGGGAAGUCCACCUGGGAAGGCCACAGACACAGCGGAGAAAGGCGCUGCCCCAUCAAGGUGAAGAGGGGGCCGGCAGAGGAGCUGGCUGAGAUGAACGACGUGGUGACAAAGCACAGUGUCACUCGGAGCCCCUGGGACCGUUUGUCUCUGGGUUUCCCCAGUCAGCUGCUGUUGGAAAGCAACACGGAGAAAAUGAGGAGAGAGCUGGCCUUUGUUUACGCAGGCAAUGUGCAGGUAGGGGGGAAACAGCCCUGCACUGGGUUCACCACCCGCACCUGCAAAGACCCUGGCGUCCACCUGCCUUUUGCCUGGAAACAUAGUGAAGUUUUGCAGCCCCAGAGAAAGUCAGCAAAUCUGUGAAGUUAGAACCACGGCAAUAUUUCUUUGCACAUUUGACUUGUUUGUUUAUUUAUUUAUUUCGAGACAAAGUCUCGCUCUUGUCGUCCAGUGUAGAGUGUGAUGGCGCGAUCUCAGCUCACUGCAACCUCUGCCUCCCGGGUUCAAGCGAUUCUCCUGCCUCAGCCUCCCCAGUAGCUGAGAUUACAGGAGCCUGCCACCAUGCCUGGCUAAUUUUUGUAUUUUUAGUAGAGAUGGGGUUUCACCAUGUUGGCUGGUCUUGAACUCCUGACCUCAGGCGAUCCACCCACCUCGGCCUCCUGAAGUGCUGGGAUUACAGAUGUGAGCCACCGUGCCCGGCCUUGACUUGUUUAUUUUAAGAUGUUUUGCCUUCAGCAAAAUGGCUGGUGUAGCGCCUUGAGGAUGCGGUCCUGAGUGUGCGCUGUGUUUCAGAGCCGACAAAGGCCUGCGUGUCUCUAGCUCCUGCUUCUGGACACCAUCACUCAGGACGUGUGGCAAGGGGCAGUAGGUGGUCCCCCCAGGAAGGCCACGGAUGCCCUGCCAUGAUGGGAUCAACCACGCCUCUUUCCCUUCAGUCUCCAUCCGCACAUCUGGGAGUGGACAAAGUAUCUGCAUGGAGAGUUUGACUGUGUGACCUUCUCUAAAACAGGCAACAGCUCUUCCUAAAACCCAGUCAUCCUGAGAGAGCAGCGCCCUGUGUGUCCAGACCAGGCUUCUGUCGAUGCCGGCAGCAGACGUCUCACUGCAUUAGCAGAACUGCAUCCCCCCAACAAAGCCAGGAGGCAGGAAAUAUUUUCCAGAUUAUUCCAAUGAAGAAAUUGAGGCUCCAAAAAUGAAAAUAUUUGCUGAUCACACAGCUUCUGAGAGGCGGGGCUGAUGUUUAUUAGUUUUAUUUAUUAUGUGUAUUCUUACUGAUUUUGUUAUGUGUGUGUUUAUUUAUUGUCUAUUUGUUUUCAUGCAGAUGUAUUUGCAAGUAGGUUUUAUUUUAUUCUAACCAAAGGGAAAAUGGACUCACUGGCUGUUCAUGAAUGCACCCACCCCACCUUGCUCAGAGAGUGGCUUUCCCAGGUCUUCGAGAUUUGCAGGGGGCUACCCUGCCCCUCUGGCUGUGCACCAGUGCUUUCUGCCAGCCUCCAACCCAAA
ensembl:lncRNA novel transcript